CAAACUAACUGGCUUCCACUUUUUCAUUCCAUUUCACAUUCCGGAACUUUCUUGUGCCAUCUCCCGGUCAAACAACAAAUGGAGGCUUGUGAAGCUCUGGGUCUCCAUCUCCAAACACACCGAAAAUUUCAUGUCUCGAACCCAACUUCUUUCUGAUAACAGCAAUGGAGAGGCCAAAAACAUCAUAUUUUUGUGAAGCUAUGGGUCUCUAUUAUUAUCGACGGACCAACGGACGGUGGGGGUUCAUCAUCUGAACCUUGGGUCAUGAAAAAUAAAGAAAUGCUUAUCUCUUUCACCCACUAGGGGUACAUCGGAAUUUGGACCUCUCAUCCUUGUUUCCAGUAGAUGAAGAUUCAAAUGUUCAAUCACAGUCGGACAUGAGCUCCAAUAUAUUUAUGUUUUAAUAUGUAACUACAAACAAAAAAAAAAAGAAGUCCAAUCAGAAGAGUAAAUUAUUAUGUGAAAAUGCAAUCAACAAAAGGUGUUGAAUCUAGGUUCUCUCUAGGAGUUUGUUUCUUAUAUCCAUGUCAGCUUCUCUAUCUGUUCUUACUCAUUUCUGGGGCUUAGGAGGACUCUCCUUUUUUUCUCUUCUUUAAUGUCUCUCUCCAAAUACCCUUGAGUAAUCAUUGAAGUGGAUUAUGCACCCAAGAUGUUUGAUCAUAUAUGCCUGACUCCUCUUAUUUGCAGUAAUGAAGUCCAUAGGUUUUGUUUUAGGUUUGCCGUGAACUCGCACGAAGGGCAGUGAUCUAGCUAUAAGAGAAAGUCAUAAUGAUCUUGAGGCUUGGUUGAAUUAGACUUGGAGGAAACAUUUGAGUAUUUUGCUGAAGUAGUUUGUAUGGAACGAGAAGGCUGAGUGGUAAGGAGUUGAAACUAAUAAACUUUUCGUGUUAUAUGAUAGCUGGUAAACUGAUCAGCUACCUCGUGUGUGUUUACUUUACAAAAAGAAUAGGCGGGCGGUGUAUUUUUGAGAUUUAUGAUGCUGGAGAUAGGUGGGGUAUAGGAUGGUUGGAUCAGGGAACAUAUUUUCUUUUGUUAAAAUGAUUUCUAAUGGGAAAAAAUUAUUUUAAGAUGUGUUUGGAUGAGUUCUGGCAAACCUCUACUAUCUUUUCUCAUUUUCCUAUCUCUCUUUUCUCUGGUAUUCUGCUUUGUUUGUUUGUAUUGUUUAAUUAUCCUCCGGGUUUUCUGUGUAUGUAAUGCAGCUAUAGAUACACUCUCCAAAAUUCACAUGCAUCCUGAUCGGCGAGAUAAAAUUAAAUAUGGAGGAAGAAAAUAUUUCUCAGUCCUGCUAAUUUUUCAAAUAUUCUAUCUUGGUGAGGAUAUAAACCAUUGGCUCUAUUAGUUUUGCAUUUAUACUUUAUUUUUCUUUUUAAUUCAAUGUAUAAGCAGUUUUUUCGUUUACAAGUAUAUGAUUUUUCCCCUUUUUAAUUUUUUAUGGGUAGAUUCUGAUUCAAGUAUAUGCGUGUUGUUUUUACUGUUUGAACGCUUCUACACUAGCCACAUCAGUUGCCAUCUUGGCAAAAAAAUCUAAUUAAAAGGGAAGAACUUUGUGCAGUUAAGGACGAUAUGCCUAACCCCAUAGGUGACUUUAACAUAAAUAUCUUUCCUUUUGCAAGGCCAUAACUUUUGAUACACAAAAAUAGGUUAUUUGAAAGAUGUUAUGCGGCAUAUCCUUUAUUGGGAAUCUAUUUGCAAAUUCAUUUGUAUCUAAAAGAAUGAAGCUUUUCAUGAAGAAAAUGAUUAUGGAUAAUUCUUUCAUGGUGUCCUACAUUUUGAUUUUGCUACAAUUAGUAAUGUUGCUUUGUCAAGAAUUCAUCAUUAGCUGAAAGUUCGUCCUAUCUCUGUCUGGUGAAUCUAUUUAAACAGUAAGGUAUACAUGAUUAAUUUCAUUGAUUUUUCUGCUUUAAUUUGAUAUCUAGCUCAGUAAAAAUGUGCAUCCGGACGAUCCUUCUAAUAUGUUUGUGAACUUAAUGGUGAUCAAAUGUAGUACUUUGAUAUUUGAACUCCUUGCUAGCUCUCUAUUUUCAUUGUAUAAAUGAAAUUUGGUUUUUCUGUUUUCGUAAUUUCCUGGUGAUAUGUGACUUCUAAAACUAGGUUGCUUUAUUAUUCGUUAACUCAUGAGAUGGAUUCAUUGACUCCCCCGCGUUGUUUAUGCGGCACCAAGGUCAUAGUAUGUUGACUAUGUUCUGUUGUCGCUCAAAGGCAUGUUCAUAUGAAGAGGUAAGAGAAUGAAAUUCUUGCUUCCCCAAUAGACUAUAAAAGUUUCUUUAGGUUACUUUAAUUGUAAUACUAAUGGACGUGAUAUUUCAUUUACUGAAAUUUCGAUAUUUAUAGUAUAUAAAAGGAGUGGAAAGUUCCUACUGGUUCGGGGCAUAUUGGUAUAUUAUUCAUGAGGAAAUGGCUGCAAGAAGACAACAACAUAACACGAGAGAACUUUGUCAUAAAGUAAAAGGAGUGGGAGGUUCCCACAGGUUCGGGGCCCAUUGGCAUAUUAUUCAUGAGGAAAUGGCUGCAAGAAGACAACAACGUAACACGAGAGAACUUUGAUGUUUAAGUAAUAAUAUACUCCUCUUUUCCAUUUUUCAGUGUAAUGAUUUCUUCUACAUUUAUUAUGUAUUACAUAUACUUCUGAUAUUGAGUUUUCUAUUAAAGAGUUCUAUAAAUGAAGAAUCUUUGAGUUCCAAAAUGCCUCUGGUAUGUGCAUUAUUUCAUUCAGUUCUGGUGAGUUUUUCUAUUGGUGCUUUUCUCAUUGCACCCGAUUAGCUAGUGGGAUUUUAGUGCGCAAUAAGUAGUUUCUCCGUACCUUUCGAUAGUUUCUUGUAAUUUUAAUUUCACACACAUGGCUACUGAUAUCCAGUUUGCAUACUGAUGCAUCGAGGGUGUUCGGUAAUAUACCUAAAUCAACUCUUUUUCAAUAGCUUUUCUCUUUUGACAGUUUUUCUAUACUCCAGCAAUUUGAAAGGUGACUUUCCGUUGUAAAUUGAGCCAUGAAAUGAUGAACUACCCUCUGCUGAUAGUAUACACUGUCAGUAAUCAAGACGGGAACAACAUUACUGACAAACCAAUCUUGGAGUAUACACUGUCAUCUCUUGGUCUAGAUUGUUUCUCUGCCUCUUCAAUGAGAAGAUCAGUUGGCGUUAUUACAGGAAUGCGCCACACCUUAAUUAAGUUUAACUGAAAGUGAGAGGCCCGGUCUACCAUCUGAAGUAAGUGCUUCCAUCACCAAUCUUAAAUGAAAUAUGGUGACUGAUGAAGUGUCGAACUGUAGCACCGGAGCAAAAGCUAUAUUGCAAGUUAAUGAUGAGGAAAAAUGGGGUUACAAUUGCUGACCGGGAAAAGUUGUCUUGAUCAAGCAACCCCGACGCAAUGUUCUUAGACGUAGUAGAAAUUCAAGAGAUGUGACGACAUUUGAUAUAUCAGGGGGCCUCUCACACUGAGAGAAGGCUUGACUUGCUGAUGAUUGUAGACGGGGACUAUGAACAUGCAGCAGAGGAUCAGAUGAUAAAGAAAGGCCAGAUAUGUUGUUAAUUGGCAAGACACCGACUACUCAGUAGUGGCAAUUUGGUGCAAGGAUAGACUAAAACUUAUGUUGUGUAUGAUUUGUGGUUUGGCAGGUAUGCAACAUGUGGUUUUCCAUAGCAAUGUCUAUGCUAAAGUACCAGAAACUUACUAGGAACACGGCUAUGAUUCUGCUCAAAUUUCCAUUGAUUCCUCAAAUCUCACUUCAGAGGCCACAUCUUCCUCUGCUUUUGUCUCUGUUGUCUUUCAUAAAGAAGGCACUAUUUAAUCACUAGCCAAAUCUGUCAAUCAAGCAGCUUCACUUUGUUCAAACUCUUCAGCUCCCAUAUGAGAAUCACGUUGAUGUUAUCUUUUAAGCAUGCAAAUAAAGCUCAUGCCUCCAGCUGGCAUGAAUUCUUCCAAAAAAAAAGAAGAGGAAAUGAUUUCCUAUUUAUCGGUUGUCUGUGUGCUAACUUCCUCGAAGUAGAUAACUUCCUCGAAGUAGAUGACUGGAGGUUAAUCGAAUGUUCCCCAUAUUCACAGAAGAGUUUGGAGCAGCUGAUGGGUUGUACUGUUUCUGUUCAUUUCGAGCUACAGAGAUACAAUUUGAGCUUUGUCGUAUUAUCUAUUUUUCUGUGUUGUUCCUUGCUUCUCGUGAGACGAAUAGAUGUCCUUUUGAUGCUAUAUUGAUUACCACAGUAAUUUCAUCUUAGAAAAGAAAAACUCAUGAUUGAGAAGCUUGAAGCUUGUAUUAUACAUUAGAAGUAUCAAGUUUGCAGUGGCACUUCAAUUUCGUAAAUUAGAAUUUGGAACUUGCAGU